UCAUCAUACCUGCCAGUGAGUCAAAGAUUCCAUCUUUGUGUGAUAGGAAAAAAUUCUUGGUGAAUUCUUAAGCUAUUGGGAUCAGCUGAGGCACAAUCCCUUUUGAGAUUGAUACUGUGUUCUAGUGCACAAUUCACUUGCAUUUUAUUACCCACCCACUCGAACAAUGGAGUGCAAAUAGAAAAAUCUGUGGCUUUGAGGAUGAAGAUUCCUUGUUCUGACUUCAACUCUUGGUCAGGUUGUUUGUGCCACUUCCUACAACAGAUAAUUGUUAGGAUAAUUUGUUCUACAUGAAGGCUAUGUCUUAUGAGCUCAAGCUACCCCCUACCCCCCAAGCCUGAGGACAUCCUGGAGGAUUUGUGUGUUGGUUUGAAUGCGAAAUAAAAAGGGCAGCAAUAUUUUUUUUAAUCAAUGUAAUACAAAUUGUUGGUGAUAAAAUAAACAGUGGGGUUGUAUCAAAAAA